rnacentral:rRNA from 1 species
GAUGAACGCUGGCGGCGUGCCUAAUACAUGCAAGUCGAGCGAACGGACGAGAAGCUUGCUUCUCUGAUGUUAGCGGCGGACGGGUGAGUAACACGUGGAUAACCUACCUAUAAGACUGGGAUAACUUCGGGAAACCGUAGCUAAUACCGGUUAAUAUUUUGAACCGCAUGGUUCAAAAGUGAAAGACGGUCUUGCUGUCACUUAUAGAUGGAUCCGCGCUGCAUUAGCUAGUUGGUAAGGUAACGGCUUACCAAGGCAACGAUGCAUAGCCGACCUGAGAGGGUGAUCGGCCACACUGGAACUGAGACACGGUCCAGACUCCUACGGGAGGCAGCAGUAGGGAAUCUUCCGCAAUGGGCGAAAGCCUGACGGAGCAACGCCGCGUGAGUGAUGAAGGUCUUCGGAUCGUAAAACUCUGUUAUUAGGGAAGAACAUAUGUGUAAGUAACUGUGCACAUCUUGACGGUACCUAAUCAGAAAGCCACGGCUAACUACGUG